rnacentral:snRNA from 1 species
GGAUGUGAAAGUGAUCUAGCUGCUUCUUCUGCCACCUGUGAUCUCUAGGUUGAUUGUGGUGAUCUGGCUAGAUAGACGUUUCCCCUUGUAUCUUUCUCUGCUGAAGCUGCCCCCGUGGCUAGAACCUCCAGAUAAGCUCUCAAAGUCCCUUUGUAAGAGAAUGUAUGAUACUAGCAAGUAAGGUGCUACAUGUUGCUAUCUGCCUACCUU